CCUACGGGAGGCAGCAGUGAGGAAUAUUGGUCACUGGGCGCGAGCCUGAACCAGCCAAGUAGCGUGAAGGAUGACUGCCCUACGGGUUGUAAACUUCUUUUAUCAAGGAAUAAAGUGAGGCACGUGUGCCUUUUUGUAUGUACUUUAUGAAUAAGGAUCGGCUAACUCCGUGCCAGCAGCCGCGGUGAUACGGAGGAUCCGAGCGUUAUCCGGAUUUAUUGGGUUUAAUGGGUGCGUAGAUGGGUUGUUAAGUCAGUUGGGAAAUUUUGCGGCUCAACCGUAAAAUUGCAAUUGAUACUGGUAGUCUUGAGUACAGGUGAGGUAGGCGGAAUGCGUGGUGUAGCGGUGAAAGGCAUAGAUAUCACGAAGAACUCCGAUUGCGAAGGCAGCUUACUAAACUGCCACUGACAUUGAUGCUCGAAAGUGUGGGUAUCAAACAGGAUUAGAUACCCGGGUAGUC
rnacentral:rRNA from 1 species